UUGUUUUCUUAAAUUAAGGUUUUCAUGUGCAGCUGUCACCCAGGAUAGCAUCACAUUUCAGUUCCAUGGCACCCCACGUGUAUGGGAUGGAAAGACAAUUAGAAGAUUGAUAACAGGCAAUUCAGUCCUCUAUGUUGUUAUGGAGGGUGAUCAGGUACCUCAACAGUCGCAACUUUAUACAGCCACUGAAGGUUGUGGUAGCUCCACAGAUGGUGAACUGAUGCUCUUCCAUGAACCAGCUGCCUUAAAUAGAGAUAUUGGAGAG